GAUGAACGCUAGCUAUAGGCUUAACACAUGCAAGUCGAGGGGAAACGAUAGAGAAAGCUCGCUUUUUCUAGGCGUCGACCGGCGCACGGGUGAGUAACGCGUAUCCAACCUGCCCACCACUUGGGGAUAACCUUGCGAAAGUAAGACUAAUACCCAAUGAUAUCUCUAGAAGACAUCUGAAAGAGAUUAAAGAUUUAUCGGUGAUGGAUGGGGAUGCGUCUGAUUAGCUUGUUGGCGGGGUAACGGCCCACCAAGGCGACGAUCAGUAGGGGUUCUGAGAGGAAGGUCCCCCACAUUGGAACUGAGACACGGUCCAAACUCCUACGGGAGGCAGCAGUGAGGAAUAUUGGUCAAUGGGCGAGAGCCUGAACCAGCCAAGUAGCGUGCAGGAUGACGGCCCUAUGGGUUGUAAACUGCUUUUAUAAGGGAAUAAAGUGAGUCUCGUGAGACUUUUUGCAUGUACCUUAUGAAUAAGGACCGGCUAAUUCCGUGCCAGCAGCCGCAGUAA
rnacentral:rRNA from 1 species